GAAAUAUUACAGUAUAAUACCUUCAUCUUUUUCUUCAAUUUUAAUUUAGUCCUGCAAGUAUUAUCAAACUUGCACCACUUCCCCUAAUAGUACAUCAUGUGAAUCAAUAGUACAUUCAUGUGAAUUAAUAGUUCUAUACAUGUGAAAAAAAUAAUUACAGUAUAGUUGUGACGCCCCCAAAUUCGGGUUACCCGACCCUCGAGUUUGGUGUUCACGAUCCAUAAUAUAAUAACAUCUAACUACCCAUUCAUUGAUGAAUAUAAACUUACAUAAAGUUAAUUAAUAGGUUAACAACAUUAUCCAAGGUCAUCUAACCUUAACAUUACAAAUUUACCCUUUAGAUAUACAAAAAGGGUUUACAAAACAAUAUAGUAAAUAUGCUUAACAUAAAACUACUCUAGCACUAUUCCUUUGCCUUUGUUCUGCUUAGCCCCGCUGGUCUCAUCGUUCCUAGCUGAAAUAUUUUAUUUAGCAAGGGUGAGCAACAAGUUUGCCCCACAAGUUAAGAUAUACAAUAAAUUAUAUAUAUAUAUCAUGAAUAGAAGAGUCUAGCUUGUAUAGAACUUCAACAACAAUCAAACAAUUUCGAGAUAGCAGAAUAAUAAUUCAAUCUCAAUAAUAAAACUUUCUACUAUUUCAUACUGAAUAACAUAUCUGAUAUGAAAGAGUAUAAUUCUUUCAAAGAUUCAAUAAUAUUCAAUUGAAUAAAAUGAAUUAACAAUACUGCAACGAUCUUCAAUAAAGUGGGAUAUACCCAGAUUUCAUGCUGAGUGAUCACAGAGGAUCAUGAACUAAUAGAGGAAUUAUUUAGUUAUUAAAACUAAAUUACCACAAGAAUAUACAUUAGUUAUAAAAACUAAACUAUACUCUUCUGCAAGUACUUGGAGUGGCCAACUUCUUUGUACCCUAUAUUAUGCAUAAUACUCAAUAAUAGCGCAUAGGUUGAUUUACGACAUUAAAAUUUAUUCAUCUCAGUCUUACUCCACGAGUCCGUACCACAACAAUAUGGUUUGGAUUACUUUCAAAGAAAUACUAUGAUUUCAAUAAUUAUUAACAAUACUAAUCUAGCCAAAAUCAAUGGUAUAGAUCUUUCAAUAACAAUUCAGUUUAUAAUGAAUAGAACAUUUCACGCUUUAACAAAUAUUAGUCUCGCCUAAACAAUUAGCUGAGACAUGAUUUAUAAUUAGUUCAAAUAAUAGAACAUUAUUCAAUUUCACUACAUACGAAUUUCAACAAUCAUUAUAGAUGUGAAUAACUAUCAAUAAUUAUUCACUACUAUGCUUGAAAAAUAGUAACUCAAGUUGAGUUAGAAAACUUGCAUUUCGUGUUGAUUACUGCUACACAAUAUAAUUAACUGCGUUCGUAAGACCUAUGAUCAACAAUGUCGGUCUCACAAUUAGUACAAUAUUUCAUAACACACAACACUGUAAUUCAUAGUAAAUCUUCUCUUAGACACAUUAACACAUAGUCACAUCAGUGUUUAUAACUUAUAUAAACACUUAUCAAGUCUAACUAGUUUGGUCUGGUUGGACUUCGGUCCAUUCUCGGUAUUCUGGUCACUCUAUCCGACAAUUAACACAUUUAUUGUCAAUUAAAUCUGGUCUCUAAGCUUAUGUAUUAUUUUAGAUAAGUCAAAUAUCGUUUAUAAUAUUUUUC
rnacentral:lncRNA from 1 species